GGGCCGAGGCCGCUAACGCGGGGGCCCGCGGAGCCGCCGCUGCUGCGCUCCUGCCGGGCGGGUUGCCGAGGUCCUGGCGCGCCCGGCGGCUUCCUUUCGUCGUGAGCAACGGGAAUAAAAGACCAGCUCUGAAGCAGCUCGCUGUCACGUCGCAUCAGCUCUGCUGCCAACGCAAGGAACACGGAGGUGGCUGUGGCCAGCGGAGGAAAUGAGGCUGGGACCACAGCAACGGGAUUUACGAGCGUUUAUCUUCCUAUGGAAUGAAACCCUUAAUGAUUUCAGUCCUUUAGUCCUCGGCUGAGUUGAUUUUAAGAGCUGACUUUUGGCUGAACCAGUAUCUAAGAUUUUGGAUGUUAUUCAGCAGAAGUUGUGUUAUCAAUUCUGAGCAAAAGUGGCAAACAACCCUUAUGAAAUACACAUUUUUCUACUUAAAAUAAUCCCUCAGCUGGUAGGAGGAAGGUUUCUCUGAUGGAUACAUGAGGCAGGAAUGGAUGGGAUGCCAACACGUUCGCGGGUAAAACAGGGUUAAGAAGUGUUUUCAUGCUUAUGUUUUCUGUACAGUUUAACAGUGGAGUAGCUCGUUUUGGACUGAUGCAAAAGAAAUCAGACAGCUCUUUUAGUAAGUCCUUGUGGUUUAAUGUGUUAUUCUGGUUGACAUCAGCAGCUUAUUGAUGAUAUUUUAAUAUCAGAAUUUUUACUCUACCAAAGUCUGCUUAGUGUAGUAGUUUCUAGAGUGCAUUAAGUUACUAAGCCUAGAGCUCAUUUGGUAAAUAUGUAGAAGAAGAGAACUCUCCUGCUUUUCAUCCUUCCAUGGAAAUUAAUUUCCACAAAUUUCCCCUUCAGACCCCCUUUCUGCUCACUAUUGAGGGGUAGCAAAAGCUGUGCAUUACAUUUGUGCCCUAUCAUUGCAUCGUAGGAUGCUGCAACACCAGCUUUGGCUUUCUUCACAUUAACAUUUUAUUUUGUGUGACGUAUUUCUGAAUAAUUUAUAAUUAAAGUGCUUUUUUACCUUUUCCAUCUACUGUAAAAGCUGUUGUUUGUGCUGUCUGUCUCAUUUGGUGCAGAAGAGAAUGCUAAUUUUCAAUAGUGCUUGUAUGCCAUUGCGGGAGCUGAAAAAGAAGAGAAAAAGGAUUAUGGUUAGGACCAAUUCCACGUGUCAGUCAUAGCCGUAUACACCACGUGUCGUACGCAUUUCACAGGAAAGAUACUGUGUGUAGAUGCAGGGGUGCCUUAUCUGACUGCCCCCCAGCCCCUCCGUAUGCUCUUGUAGCUGCUAAAUGUGGUUCUAGAUCAGCUGUCCCAAGAAACGAGUCAAAGAUCCAGGGUUUUCUGUAUGUGAAGCUGCU